AAACAAUAGAAAGCUAUCUGAUUCUAUGUUAAACUAAAUCACCAAAUGAGAAUAUGACUUUUAAAUGGUGAUGAUGUUUAUUCAGUAUUGAUCUUCAUAUUCUAUGCUGUGGGAUUUGUUUCUGGGUCAUCCUUUUUUUUUUUUGUGAGAUGGAGUCUCACUCUGUCGCCCAGGCUGGAGUGCGGUGGCACAAUGUUGUCUCACUGCAACCUCCCUCUCCCAGGUUAAAGCGAUUCUCAUGCCUCAGCCUCCUGAG
rnacentral:lncRNA from 1 species